AUGGGCGCCAUCGUGCUCACAUGCGGUGUCAAUUUGGCGGUCAACUCCAACUGUGUCACUACUUCCGCGCUCUGCCUCUUCAGGCAUGACAAUCUCAAGGCUAAUAGGGUGACCAAGGAGGUCCCCGUUGAUUCCCUGAUGGAUCAGGCGGGAAUCUGUGGAUAUCUUCGUCAAAGCCAAGAGGAAUAUGGUGUUCCUGCACAUUGUGACGGUUGUUUGCUUCAAAUGGCUGGUGCGAUCCAUCUUUCGUGUACCACGGUAUUACCUAAAUUGCUGAAUAUAUCUGGUGCAUUUCUCUCUCUCUCUCUUGUUUAA
rnacentral:rRNA from 1 species